rnacentral:rRNA from 1 species
UGGAUUGGUGCCUUCGGGAACUCUGACACAGGUGCUGCAUGGCUGUCGUCAGCUCGUGUCGUGAGAUGUUGGGUUAAGUCCCGUAACGAGCGCAACCCUUGUCCUUAGUUACCAGUCACGUUAUGGUGGGCACUCUAAGGAGACUGCCCGGUGACAAACCGGAGGAAGGUCGGGGAUGACGUCAAGUCAUCAUGGCCCUUACGGCCUGGGCUACACACGUGCUACAAUGGUCGGUACAAAGGGUUGCCAAGCCGCGAGGUGGAGCUAAUCCCAUAAAACCGAUCGUAGUCCGGAUCGGCAGUCUGCAACUCCGACUGCGUGAAGUCGGAAUCGCUAGUAAUCGUGAAUCAGAAUGUCACGGUGAAUACGUUCCCGGGCCUU